AAUGAACGCUGGCGGUGUGCCUAACGCAUGCAAGUCGAGCGAGAAAGCUUCUUCGGAAGUGAGUACAGCGGCGGACGGGUGAGUAACACGUAAGAACCUGCCUUUUAGUGAAGAAUACCUUCGAGAAAUCGGAGUUAAUGCUGCAUACGUCCCUUCGGGGAGAAAAGUGGCUUUUAUGCUACUGCUGAAAGAUGGGCUUGCGGACUAUCAGCUUGUUGGUGGGGUAAAGGCCUACCAAGGCUAUGACGGUUAGCCGACCUGAGAGGGUGAUCGGCCACAUUGGGACUGAGACACGGCCCAG
rnacentral:rRNA from 1 species